GCUGUAGCUAAUUAUUAAUGUACUCCACACUCAAAAUCUGGCCAUUUAUUUUAAUUUUCUAACUACUGUAUACUCUAUACAGUGAAACGAAAUUUUCGUGGCGUGAGCAAGGAUUAUUGGGGUCCCUUGGAAAAUAUCGAGAAAAUUGAUGCAGAUGCUGUGGAGAUCACAGAAAGUGUUCGCAGUUUACCUGGAAUAAAGUGAGUGCCUGGAUAAUUUUUUUAAACUAGGGUACCUGCAAGGUAGGGAUUGCUGCGGGCAUUACACCCGUUUUCAAAAUUACGCGACCAAGGACGAAAAUGCUAGAGUUGACGUAUCAGUUUUAUGUCAUUCGGUCACAAAGUUUAAACUUUGAGUUUUGCGGUUCCUUGUCGGUGUAUAUGCUUUGUAUGCUUUAUAUAAACAGGCUUACAGUGAUUUUCAAGAUAUUUUAGUGAGAAUUAUUGCAAAAUUUAAGAACAGACAAAAUCAUAACAUCACCGUUAUAGUCUAGCGCGCGUGUUUUAUACUAACAUCUAAAUUCCAGGAUAAAUUGCUAUUUUUCAAACUUUAAAAGUUAUUCACGGCACAUAUUUCUGUUGUGAUGGUUUGUAUUGUGCUUUAGUUUGUAUAUCUAAGUUAUCUAACUCUUUUUUUGUUCAGUUUUGGUAUUAAAUACGGUUUAAAAUGUCUUUUGACAGUUUGUUUACGUUUGCUAUUUUUAGCAGUUUUUGUGACAUAAAACUGACAUUUGAAGUAAGAGUAUUUUUCAGGGAGGUCGCGUAAUUUUGAAAAUGGGUGUAAAAGCAAAUAGAACUACAGUAAACAGCACAAAUUAUAUCAAGCACAGUGAUUACUCGCAGCGACUAGUGAGCUGUGAUGCCUGUGAAUGGAACUGAGAAGAAGCAUAGUUAAUCAAUAUAUAUAGUAGUAGCAAAGACCAGGGGUUAAAGGGUAAUCAGAGGUGACAGAUAUUAAACAUGUCUGCUCAUUGACACACAGGUAAAUUAAGAUCAGAUUUCAUAUCAAGUCUGUUGACUGCUAGGCGCAUUUACCACAUUAUAUAUAUAGACUAUAUAGUAUAUACACAGAUUUAUCACACUAAGAUACCAAAACUUUAUAAAAAUAUAGAACUAUCAGUAGCCAAAGUCCAAAACAAAUGUAAGCGAAACAUUAGACUUGAAAAAGCUUUAGAAAUUCGACAAAAAUUCGAAGACUCGAGCGAGUUUAAAAUUUGUGUUCUGCGCAUAGAAAGCGCGCACGACCACAAUUCCAUGCGCCAAAUAAAAUUUAGUUCAAAACUCCCUCUCUGCAUAUAUUAGGUUGCUGCUACGCUCGCUCGCUUCAGGCUCGCUCGCUCCACAGCAAUUACAUUAAUUUUUUUGCUAUCCACAGGUCUCAAAAUAAGCGUUGGUCAUCGGUCAUUGUCUGGUAAAUUUAUUCAUUUUUGCUGGCAAAUACUGUCUCUUACUGGACACUCAUGAAUGGCGAGUUUUUCUUUCUAAUGUAAAAAUGUGUUCCCAAGCAAAAUUGUUGUUUCACACAAUUUUGUGUUUACUGAGAAAAGUGGAAGUCUGUAAUCAUACAUACCUGCACAAGGUCACUUAAAAUAGGUGCAAAUAAGAAAAUUAAAACAUGACCGCCAAACAUUUGUCUUGACUGGCAAAUUUAACGAUGACCGGUGUACCUUGAUGAUGACCGGUGUACCUUGCAGAUUUAUUACCAUGAUGACCGGUGUACCUUGCAGAUUUAUUUCGAGCCCUGGCUAUCCAUGCUCCACUCAAUGUGUGAGUGACUUGUUCAUAGAAUAACUGGAGAUCCUGGAGCAUUUUUUCAGUAGAUUUACUUGAAGUUAGAGUAAACAGUACAUUUACUCAAAAUAAAGAGUCAUUUUAGAACUCUUUUUUGAGUAAAAAUACUUAAAUGUUGAGUAAACUGUACACGCAUUUACUCAAGUUAUAUAUUUAUCUAUCUGAAACAGGACUGGUUUGGGACGUGGUCGAGCUUGGCUUCGUCUUGCUAUGAUGCAGAAGAAAGUUGCUGACUACCUCAACAACUUACUGGCACGUAAAGAUAUUUUAAGGUACCGUAACUAAUUUAUUUCAAAUCUUAUUUUUUCAUGUGGUAUGGCUUGG
rnacentral:lncRNA from 1 species